UUGUGAUCUGACCCUUAAACUUUAAGGGAUAACUAUUUUCGGGGUCCUCAGACUUAACGCAGAGAAAUCCCGAUUUUUUACACAGAUAUCCUCGGGUCAAGGAAAAGGAUACUGCCGAGCCCUCGGGCGAGGUGGAAAAGGGUCGGCUAAACAGACAGGGUCGGGCGAGACGGAAAAAAGGGUUGGGCGAAUUGGUAAGGGUCGGCAACUUACCUCCAGGUCUACUGGCGAAGCUUUGGGGUCGGGAAGGAGCAGACUUGGGUGGAAGGUCUUGAGCACUAAGGCUUGGGCGGCAGCACCGUCCGGCAGUGUUCCGGCGGCGGUGGAGCUUCUUGUGGGCAACAAGGAAGCUCUAGCACAGCACGGAGGAGCAAGCGGCUGGGUGGAUUGGGGAGAAGCGGACUUGAGCAGAGAGGGGAACUCUCGAGAGUUUCAGUAGGAUUGCUCAAUUGUGCUCAGAGUAGGGACGGUGAAAUAGCGAUAGCGAAGGAACUCCGGUGGAACUCUGGCCUUCCCUUUUAUAGCAGCGCGGAAGAGAGAGA
rnacentral:lncRNA from 1 species